CAGAGUUGGCAAUAAUACCUUUUGGGGCGCCAGUGUAUUCCCCGAACAGGUGUUUGGGUCACAACUCUGGAAUACCGCUUCAAAAGACGCCACUCUA
rnacentral:sRNA from 12 species